rnacentral:rRNA from 1 species
UGGGGAAUAUGCACAAUGGCGCAAGCCUGAUGCAGCCAUGCCGCGUGUGUGAAGAAGGCCUUCGGGUUGUAAAGCACUUUCAGCGAGGAGGAAGGUGGUGAGCUUAAUACGCUCAUCAAUUGACGUUACUCGCAGAAGAAGCACCGGCUAACUCCGUGCCAGCACCGCGGUAAUACGGAGGGUGCAAGCGUUAAUCGGAAUUACUGGGCGUAAAGCGCACGCAGGCGGUUUGUUAAGUCAAGAUGUGAAAAUCCCCGGGCUCAACCUGGGAACUGCAUUUGAAACUGGCAAGCUAGAGUCUCGUAGAGGGGGGUAGAAUUCCAGGUGUAGCGGUGAAAUGCGUAGAGAUCUGGAGGAAUACCGGUGGCGAAGGCGGCCCCCUGGACGAAGACUGACGCUCAGGUGCGAAAAGCGUGGGGCAGCAAACAGGAUUAGAUACCCUGGUAGUCCACGCUGUAAAACGAUGUCGAUUUUGGAGGUUGUGCCCCUUGAGGCGU